rnacentral:rRNA from 1 species
UACAGAGGGUGCGAGCGUUGUCCGGAAUCACUGGGCGUAAAGGGCGCGUAGGUGGCGACCCAAGUCUGUGGUGAAAGCUCGCCGCUUAACGGCGAGUCGGCCACGGAUACUGGGUGGCUCGAGCACUGUAGGGGCAGAUGGAAUUCCGGGUGUAGCGGUGGAAUGCGUAGAGAUCCGGAAGAACACCGGUGGCGAAGGCGGUCUGCUGGGCAGUAGCUGACACUGAGGCGCGAAAGCUAGGGGAGCAAACGGG